GACGAACGCUGGCGGCGUGCUUAACACAUGCAAGUCGAACGGAAAGGCCCUGCUUUUGUGGGGUGCUCGAGUGGCGAACGGGUGAGUAACACGUGAGUAACCUGCCCUUGACUUUGGGAUAACUUCAGGAAACUGGGGCUAAUACCGGAUAGGAGCUCCUGCUGCAUGGUGGGGGUUGGAAAGUUUCGGCGGUUGGGGAUGGACUCGCGGCUUAUCAGCUUGUUGGUGGGGUAGUGGCUUACCAAGGCUUUGACGGGUAGCCGGCCCGAGAGGGUGACCGGCCACAUUGGGACUGAGAUACGGCCCAGACUCCUACGGGAGGCAGCAGUGGGGAAUAUUGCACAAUGGGCGGAAGCCUGAUGCAGCAACGCCGCGUGCGGGAUGACGGCCUUCGGGUUGUAAACCGCUUUCGCCUGGGACGAAGCGUGAGUGACGGUAAUGGGUAAAGAAGCACCGGCUAACUACG
rnacentral:rRNA from 1 species